GAACGCUGGCGGCGUGCUUAACACAUGCAAGUCGAACGAAGCUUGAGGAAUGAUUUCUUCGGAAUGAAUUCUGAUAUGACUUAGUGGCGGACGGGUGAGUAACACGUGAGCAACCUGCCUUUCAGAGGGGGAUAACGGCUGGAAACGGUCGCUAAUACCGCAUGAAAUGUUUGGAUGGCAUCGUCUGAACAUCAAAGAUUUAUCGCUGAAAGAUGGGCUCGCGUCUGAUUAGAUAGUUGGUGAGGUAACGGCUCACCAAGUCGACGAUCAGUAGCCGGACUGAGAGGUUGAACGGCCACAUUGGGACUGAGAUACGGCCCAGACUCCUACGGGAGGCAGCAGUGGGGAAUAUUGCACAAUGGGGGAAACCCUGAUGCAGCAACGCCGCGUGAAGGAAGACGGUUUUCGGAUUGUAAACUUCUUUUCUUUGUGAAGAAACAAAUGACGGUAGCAAAGGAAUAAGCAUCGGCUAACUACGUG
rnacentral:rRNA from 1 species